ensembl:lncRNA
UGAUUGUCCUGCAGUGCUGGAGAGCCAAGACAUGGGGACGGGGAUCUGCUACCGCUGUGGAUCCAAGGAGCACGACAUCAGCAAAUGCAGAGCCAAGGUGGAUCCAGCUGCUGGGCCAUUUCCUUAUGCAAAAUGUUUCAUCUGUGGUGAGAUGGGGCAUCUGUCAAGGUCCUGUCCAGAUAANNNNNNNNNNNNNNNNNNNNGUGUUCUUCUUACCUGGUACAGAAAAAAGUAACACUGCAGGUGAAUGAGAAUGUGGCUAAAAGGAAUUCCCGUGUAUCUUUCAGUGAAAGCAGAGUAAUUCUGGGGAAUUCAUUGUCAAAUAAUUACCUAGGGAUUUCUGUUUUAAGUGCAGGCUUAUAUUAAAUGUCUGGAUGAGGUGCAAAGUGUGAGACUUUGCACGUGCCUCAGUAUCAGGAAAUGCACAAAGGAACACAAUCCUGUGUGAAUGUAGGCAGUGUGUAUUUAGGUGCACCCGAGGAGGUGGUAAGAACGUUCUCACACAGUAGCUGAAGAUUCUGGGAGGUUGUACUGAAGGGAGAGUAUCUCCAGUCUGAGUAACUUUAGUGAGAAAUGGGGUCUCACAUGGAAGGUUUCACUGCUCUGUUGGCUCCAACAACCAGUAUUCUGUCUCCUGGUGUUUCCCAGCACAAAGUGGGGUCUUGGCAAACUCCGGGAGGUGAUCUUGCAGCCCAGUUCAAGUGUAACAAAAAUCACCUUGCUGCCAAGUGUUUGUAUUGUGGAAUUUUGUGGUGUAUAGAAUUUCACAUCGCAGUACCUGCAGUUGGAUCACCUCCCUCAGGAGCCCCUGUCAAUUUUUAAAGUUCCUUUGAGUAUGGAUUUCUGCAGAAUUCAGCCCGUUUCUCAAAGAGAGAGCUUCCAGCAAAUCAGAAAUACCCAGUGGCUGGAAUCUGUGGUGUGUGAUGCUGUACUGAACAGUGUGACUCCAAACAGCUCUAUUCCUCACAGACAUGGGAAGGGUAUUUUCCUGGGUGUUUUGUGGUGGUUUUUCCCCCCUCAGAUGAGUAACAACUUUGUGUGUGAACAGGUGGGGGCUGCAAACUUUGUGGUUCUGUGGAGCACUUCAAGAAGGACUGCCCGGAGAAGCAGAACACAGAGCAGGUGACAGUCGGGCGCUGGACCCCCGGCCUGAGCGCGGACCACGAGGACGUCGCGGCCGCGCCGGCGCCGCAGAGAGCGCAGCCCAAGCGACCCAAAGUUGUCACUUUCUGAAGGACUCCUGGCUCUCCAUCAGCUCUCCUGCACUGCUGCACUCCAGAGUGGUGACGACAGAGAGCAGAUCCAGAAGAACAAGCAGGCUGCAGAGGACUUGCUGGGUGUUUUCCUCCCCUCAUUUUCCCCCUUUGCCUCCCAAACUUGCCUGUCUCACUUUGAAGCUGGGAACAACAGGAACACAGCAAGUGGCUAUUUUGUUAAAGCAUUUGUGGGUGUGUUUUAAAGGUUCAUGAUGGAUUCUGGUUUGGAUUUGCCUUUUCCUUUUAGGGAUAAUGAACUCCCUCUUGUGUAUGUUCCAGCUUGAGCAGCCUUGUGCUGAAGUUACAGAUCAGCCCUGUGGAGCUCGGGGUGCAGUUCCUGACGGCAGUACGUGUUACUGUCAGCCAUCCAUUGGUCAUGCACACGGGGUCAUUUGAGUCUGCUCACUAACAGAAUCAAGCCCUUCCUCUGAAACCUGUGGUGAAACACACCCCUAAAGAAUUGGAGAGCAAGUGAUGAGCUUUCUUAGGUUAUUUACUUCUUUUUCAAAGAAAAUGCUCAAAAAUCUGCAGUUUCUAUGCCUUGGUGAGCUGGGAGUAAACUUUUCUUUGUAGUGCGCCUGCCUGCUUCAUGGCAGAUUUACUGUUUUUAAAUAGAGACUGCAGCCUUAUAAAAACUAAUGGAUAUUAGAAGGAAACAUAAGGAAACCAACUCCAAACAGGGUUCCUGCAGCGUUACUGAGAAGUGCAUCCUGAGCUCCCCCCACACACUUUUUUUGCAGCAAAAAACAAACAUGGGGAAUGAAAUUGUGUGGAGAUAUUUUAUAUUUGUACAGGUAAUUGUUUUUAAUAAAAUGCUGCUAAAGAAUUUCA